CUCUUCCGCAUAAGAAUGAGAUUGGCUUCUGCCUUCUUAAGAGCCUCUUGGAGGUACUUGACGUCGACUUUAAGUUUUUCCACCUUCAUCCAGGCGGCCAGAGCAUCCUCUUCAGUCUUUGUUUAAGCCUCUCGAGCCUUCCUUUCAGCCUCCCGUGCUCUGGCUUCCCUAGCUGAGCGAUCCGCUAAAUUGAUGAGGACA
rnacentral:lncRNA from 1 species